GGGAACUGCGAUUGCUGUUCCUUUCUCCUCUUCUCAUUAGGCCAGCAAACUAGCAAGAUAUUCAAGAUCAGUAAUGGCUAUAUGCGUGAAAAAUAUGAAUCAGGCAAUCCAAAUGUACAUGAGCGGGCAUAAUCUCUUACUCUCGGGUAUUGAAACAGCUAUGAUAAAAUACUAACAGCAUUUCAAGCCCAUGAACGGAGUAGGUAGAGCCACUCAACAAUAGCAAAGGAUUUGUGACUAUAGCCUAUUUUGAAAUGUUAUCAUUAUCAUUACAACAGCAAAGAUCAGUAAAAAGAAGACAAAUUUAUAGAAUUGUACAAACCACAAAUCGCUUGCAAAAGUAUAAAUAGGAAGGAAAAAAGACUAAAAGGAAACAACACAUAUCUUCUCAAACCAAUGUAUUUCCUAUGGGUUCUGCAUCCAUUUUGAAAGGGAAAAUGCAAGUUCUAGAAUUUCGGUUAUCUUGUGAAGGAACCAUUACCAUUGAGUUCACUUUCCAGUAGUCACCAUUCUUUCUCUUCUGCUCUCCACAAACGCAUUUCUCUUCAUCUCUUCUUUGUUCAGUUCCACCACCAACCAAGCUUGAUACCGUAACUCUUCUCCAGUUUUGCCACAUUUUUACCAUUAUGUAAAGCAUAAUCAAGCAAAUUAGUGUGGAAGUAAAGACAAUGGCCACUAUAAUACCCACAACAGCAGAGUUGGAAAGGCUCUUUUUCUCUUGACCCCCUGAUCCCCAGCACGAUACUAAUGGUGGGCCGCAUAGCUUGUUAUUACCUAUGAAGGAACUAAGUGGGAAUCCUGAAAAGGUCGAAGGAAGUUGGCCCUGGAGAUCAUUAUUUGACAGGUUUAGCAUGUGGAGGCUGGUCAGCUUUGUAAGUGAAAAAGGCACUUCUCCUUGGAGGUGGUUGAAAGAAAGGUUCAAUCUCUCUAACUUCACAAGAUUUCCAAGAGAAGAUGGAAUCUCACCGAAGAGAGAAUUCUCACUGAGAUCAAGGAUUACUUGUAACUCAGUCAGCCUUCCAAGCUCAGGAGGUAUGGAACCCGUCAAGAAGUUCUCAGAGAGCCUCAGUUCAAAGAGUUUCUUGCACUCCUGAAGUGUCGAAGGAAUGGAACCAGAAAGGUUGUUUCUGUGCAGACUUAGGACAUUUAGAGAAGUGAGAUUUCCUAUCUCUUGUGGGAUCUUGCUGGAGAGGUUGUUGCUAUGAAGAGAAAGCUUGAGUAAUCUUGAGCAGUUCCCAAGCUGUGCAGGUAUUUCUCCAUGGAAUUUAUUGGAUGAGAAAUCCAGCUCUCCAAGAUCUUCUAUGCAUCCUAACCAGGAAGGCAUGGUGCCAGUUAGUUGGUUGUUACUCAGUAGCAAGUGUUCAAGCUUUCUACAGUUUGAAAGUUGGGGUGCAACAUCUCCUGUGAGAUUGUUGAAUGAUAAAUCAAGGAACCUAAGCUCAGUGAGCUUGACAAACUCAUUAGGAAUGUUGCCGAUAAGACGAUUGUGGGCAAGGCGAAGACGACUUAGAUUUAUUGACAUGGCCAGUCUAUAAGGAAUAGGACCUGAGAAACUGUUAUUGGUUAAGUCUAAGGCGGUCAGAGAAUUUGAACCCAGAAGAGGAGAAAUGCUUCCCAUAAACCUGUUGUGAGAAAAAUUGAUAAUUUGCAGGUUUUUUAGAAGGAAGAGAGAUGAAGGAAGAGGACCUUCAAAUGAGUUAUUAUAAAGAGUGACUUUGUACAGUUCUGAAAGGAAUCUGAACGUUGGUGGCAAUGUUCCAGAGAGCUUGUUAUCUGCUAAGGCCAAUAUCUGAAGCUUUCUGCAGUAGCCCAAGCUCGGAGGGAUUGGACCAGACAAGUCAUUCUGCCUCAGUUGAAAGACGAUCAGAUUCUUAAGCUUCCCGAUACUUGGGGGAAUUGACCCAUUGAAGUGGUUUCCAAAGAAAUCAAUUUCCGUUAGGCUGGUACAGUUUGUUAACUCCACUGGUAUUUCUCCUGACAGCUGGUUAUCGUAAAGAUAGAUAAUACUCAACCUCUUUAACUUGCCAAUUUCUGGUGGAAGUCUCCCCGUCAUCACGUUGUCAAACAGGUAAAGAUUCACCAAGUUACUCAUGUUCCCAACUUCAGGAGGCAGUUUUCCACUAAAACUGUUGUUAUUGAGCUUAAGAUCUGUGAGGUUUUCUAGUUCGUCGAGGUCAGAUGGCAGCUCUCCUUCAAAGUUGUUAUCAGAGAGGUCCAGUUGUUGCAAAGAGGAGCAGUUCAACAGCUCUAAGGGGAACUUGCCCGACAGAUUGUUUUGAUGCAGGAAAAGUUGCUGCAGAUGUGAAUUCCGCAGACAGAAAUUGCUUGGAAUACUACCAGUCAGAUCAUUAUUAGACAGGACCAAAGUUUCAAGAUUCUUUAACUGGGAACUGAACAGGCUUACUGGUCCGGAGAGAUUAUUUACUGAUAAGUCUAGCUUCUCAAGUUGAACCAGGUGGUUGAGCUCCAAAGGAAUUUGGCCACUUAAUCUAUUUCCAAGCAGAUUUAAGUACUUCAAGUUGGAGAGAUGGCUUAACUCGACAGGGAUUGAACCAGAAAGGCUGUUAUUGGCCAAAUUCAGUACUUGCAGUGAUUUCAGACUUCCCAAUGAAGCAGGGAUUUCUCCCUCAAGCCUGUUGCCUGAUGCUGCAAAGUUUUGGAGCUCUUUACAGCCAUGAAGCUCUUCUGGUAGGAGGCCACUGAAACUGUUCUUCUGCAAGUCAAGGGACAUCAGACGCUUCAAAUUACCAAUCUCAACUGGAAUGCUUCCAUUAAAUUGACAAUAAGCCAGACGCAAGACUCUUAACUUGGUUAAGUUGCCAAUACUUGGUGUAAUUUCACCUGAUAACUGGUUAUCUCCUAUUCUAAGAACUUGCAAUUUCUCCAAUGAGAAUAUGCCUUCAGGAAUCUUACCAAAGAGAAAAUUUGAAUAAAGAAGGAGUACCCUCAAAUUUUGGAUCUUCCCAAGCUCGGAAGGAAUGGAGCCGGUAAGGAAAUUUGAAGACAAAUCAAGUGUUUCAAGCGAAGUAAGAUGCCAGAGCUCGGGCGAAAUGGAACCUGAUAGUCCUGAGCUGGACAGAUUCAAGCCCACAACAUGGCCUUGGUCAUGUGAACACGCAAGUCCACUCCAGUUGCACAUAUGAGCUCGUGGAGACCAGCUAUCAAGAACUCCUAAAGGAUCAACCAGUUCUGAUUUUAUUCUCAGAAGCCAAUAGGAUUCCGUUGAAUUAUCUUCAGCAAAAGCAGCAGCAAGAACAGCAAAAGCUAGAGCUGAAAACAGCAUCAAGUGAGAAAUUUGAAUGCUACCCAUUUGAAGUUGCAUCACAGAGAUGAGAGUAUAUCAGAUACUUGUUUGGAAAUAUCCGUUAUUGCUUCUGGGGAAGCUCAGUUCCAUAUCGAAAGAGAAAGGCAAGAAAACAAACAAGAGAAGGUCAAGUCGAACACAAUCAGCAAGACAAUAAACAGGAGACGAAAUGAGGAAUUAGAGGAUAUUUGAAAAAAGUUUCAAACUACUGGGAUGAUGAAAGCUUUGAAGCUUAUAUAGUGCGGUUGAAGAAGGCAUGCUAAUCAUAAUUUGUAUUGAAAGUUGACAAUAAUGCACUAACAGUGUAAUUAAACUUUUAACUCACAGCCGUCUCUUUUCACCCUUUUUAAAGUUUUGCUAAAA
rnacentral:misc_RNA from 1 species